ensembl:lncRNA
GCCCACAAGAGGGAGCUGAUCACCUUCUUUAAGGUAAAAACUGAAGUGUAGUUUUCCACCCGCUCCACCGGGCGGCGGAAUCAGGCUUUAGGUUCAGUUUUUGACGCAUUUAGAUGCUGCUUUACAACAUGACGCUUGAUAACAGUCACAACAACACGUGAGUGAUUUAAAUAUAAAUUAUGCAGAUGACAGCUCAGUUACAGACUCAUAAUGUCACUUAACAGCACACACUUCAGCCCAUAAACAAACAAAACAGACAAACGCUGUGAUAAAGUGCAGAACUGGAAGAUGUCACGCGACUCACCUAAUAAGGGAUGUUUGAACUGUUACACUCAGCCAACAGAAGCAUGUGGACAGACAUUGACUGUAAUGAAGGACAUCUGCUGAUGCACAGGCAGAAGCAUAACGCCUGCUGGACAUUGUGCUGGAGCUCGGGGAGGACACCAUGAUCCCCCACACCUUCUCACUCACACCAGACCAUUCACUCAUAUCACAGAGAUCUGGCUGGACUUGAACCAGCAACCUCUGAAACCAUGAGGCAGUGCUCUUACCACUGAGCCACAGAUCUCUUGAUCCUAUGAGGGGAUGCUGGAGUCUGUCCCAGAGUCUCCGACCCAAAGCAGGAAAACACCCAG